UGCCGACAGUAGAACUCCAACAAUUUUUUAAAUUUUAGUCCCGAAACUACGCCACCUAGUGGACACAUCUGAAAAUGAAUCGGAGUGACGUGGAAUCGCCAUUUUAUUCCAAGACGUUGAGCCAGAAGCAGGUCGCCGUUGUAUCGGUUGUAUGCUCAAUCUUUAACAUUUUGACGGAAAUAAAUAAGCCUAUUUCCACUUGGGCAAAUCAUAUGAUCACAUGGCUAGGUUCAGCUGCUAAAAUGUCAUCCAUUGCUACGUGUAACGGCUGUAUGUUUCAUCCAAUCCUUUGCUGAAAUACUUAAAGAAGAAGUUUCACAGCCAGGUGAAGUCUGAGCUUCUGCAAUGCUGUCUUUUGUGCUCAUGGUUUUGUUGCAGCCAGCUGACGAUUGGUGUGAUGAACUACUGCAUGCAGUCCAUUGUGCUGGUGUGGUGAGCUGCUUCUAUCCAGUCUGUGGUGCUGGCGUUAUCCUGAAAGGUUGGCUCUAGAUUCCUGACAAUGUGGUGUUUGUGGUGGAAAUGAGGAACUGAUUUCAUCGUAUCAAAAAUUCUUAUCCAUGUAAUUGUGUUUGAUUUUACGAUGGGGUUUGCUUAGUAAGUGAAAUAAAGAAAAAUAAAUGACAUCAAUAUUAA